GACGAACGCUGGCGGCGUGCUUAACACAUGCAAGUCGAACGAAGUGGCGAACGGGUGAGUAACGCGUAAUCAACCUGCCCUUCAGAGGGGGACAACAGUUGGAAACGACUGCUACUACCGCAUACUGAAGGAGGGGAUUGCGUCUGAUUAGCUAGUUGGAGGGGUAACGGCCCACCAAGGCGAUGAUCAGUAACCGGUCUGAGAAGAUGGACUGCCACAUUGGGACUGAGACCAGGCCCAGGCUCCUACGGGAGGCAGCAGUUGGGGAUCUUCCGCAAUGGACGAAAGUCUGACGGAGCAACGCCGCGUUAGUGAUGGCGGCCUUCGGGUUUUAAAGCUCUGUUAAUCGGGACGCGGUACCGGAAUAGAAAGCCACGGCUAACUACGUGCCAGCCGCCGCGGUAAUUC
rnacentral:rRNA from 1 species